GUAGCCUGAGACGUCGCACCCUGGGCUUCUUCCUCGUUACCUGCUCCUCGCUCAUGGCAAUUUCCGAGCCCGAGGAAGAUGCCCCCGCUUCUUCUUCGACUUGUCCCUCCACAACCGGUGGUUGCUAAGGCACCUCUUUAACGCGAGCCUGAGCUUCCUAUCCAACACUUAUAAAAGUAAUUUAAAAAAAGGAAAAAUUCGGCAUGACCUAUGCGGUAAAACAAGAAAUUUUCGGCAUGACCAUUGCUAUAAAACAACAAAUGAGUCUACCCGAAUGUUAUACCUGCAUAAAAAAAACUCCCACCCACAUAUACCCCCUCGGCACAUGAACCGGACCCUUCUCAACGACCCGGCACGAUGGCCGGGCCCACAUUCCUCAUAUCAACCGACAUGAUGGUCAGGAUCACAUGCGUGUAUCAAUCUUUGCACCAAGAGCAGCCAUAACGAACAUAAACAACAAUCACAUAGCUAGAACUAAACAUUAAAAGGCCUAAGUAACUAAAAAACAGAUAAACAACAAGAUUUAAACCCUAAAUAGCUAGAACUAAACAUUAAAAAUCCUAAGUAACUAGAACUAAACAUAAACAACAAGAUUAAUUUAAACCCUAAAUAGGUAGAACUAAACAUUAAAAUCCUAAGUAACUAGAACUAGCUAAACAUAAACAGCAAGAUUUAAACCCUAAAUAGAUUGAACUAAACAUUAAAAACCCUAAUUAACUUCAAAUUUCAAACAUUAUAAACCCUAACACUAAUUAACAGC
rnacentral:lncRNA from 1 species